UACAGAGACUGCAAGCGUUAUUCGGAUUCACUGGGCGUAAAGGGUGCGCAGGCGGCCAAGUGUGUGAGGCGUGAAAGCCCGGGGCUUAACCCCGGAAUUGCACCUCAAACUACAUGGCUAGAGCAUUGGAGACGGGAGCAGAAUUCAUGGUGUAGCAGUGAAAUGCGUAGAUAUCAUGAGGAAUACCGAGGGCGAAGGCGGCUACCUGGGACAUUGCUGACGCUCAGGCGCGAAAGCGUGGGGAGCAAAAAGG
rnacentral:rRNA from 1 species